rnacentral:misc_RNA from 1 species
AAUUCUCAACCAUGAUCUCAUUUUCGAAAGAGAUCGUGGCUUGGAGUUGGGAGUUGCUGGCCAGACCGUCAGCUCUCCUUAAAUGGAUUAGCGAUCGAGUUGGCUAGUCUUUGACGUACACGGCCUCGGACGUGAUAAUGAUCGUCCUGGCUGGAGCGUCUUUUUUGUAGACUAUGCAGACGGAUGGCUUCUAAAUAAGAAUGGUCGAGCGAGCUUAGCUAUUAGGCAGUCUGCUGUUUGCCAAGGCAAGGCAAGGCUGGCGAACGCAAGGUUGAAUUGUGGACCAUGAUCAGGG